rnacentral:lncRNA from 1 species
UUUAGUUUGAUGAAGUAUAGAAAGGUAAGACCUGCGUAGCAAAAGAAUUAACAUUUGUAUAAAAUCCUAUGUGAAUAUUACGUUUGCACUUAUUAAAGGUGAUACAGGAUAAGAGUGAUACGAUAAACGUUAAUGUUGUGUCUGGCCUUUUCUUUUUCCAGGUUCUUGAGCUAAUUAAUCCAUAUAUGGAUCAACCAGGACCUUUUUUGUAUCACAAGAAAAAAAUGUUACCUUACAAUUGCAUAAUAAAUACAAGAUAUAAACUAAAAGGAAAACCAUUUUGUAUUAUUAGGACAGAAAACAAACAUGCUCAUGGUAUAUAUUUGGGACAAUCAAAAUUUUUUACUGUAAGUCAUGCCAUUGCUGAAGACACAAAAUUUGUUUGGGUGAUCUUCCCUUCUGAUAAAUUUUACAUUAUUUAUAGGACUACAACAUACGAUCGGGAUAUUGCAGGAGACGUCUGCAUUCUUCAUUUGCAUCCUGACAGUGAUGUCUCAUCAUUAGGGCCGGGCAUGCCACCCAAUACUGCCAUUCCAGAUCAACAUGAGGAAAUAGUCUUGAAAACUUUUUCUUAUGAAAAGCUAAGCAAAAAAAGAGUGCGCAAAGGAAAGAUUUUACGUAUAGGUAAUGUUAAAGGUCAACUACAAAAUGGAUUUUUCCUGUCCACUUUUGGAAAGAAAGGUGACAGCGGAGCAGCCAUUUUAUCAAAAAGAUCCGGCCAACUUUUAGCCAGGUACCUUUCUAAAGUCUGCACCCCCCCAUCCUUCCCCUGGCGACAAACGAGAGAGACGCUUGGUGUCUGUGUGUCCAAAAGGAACAUUCCAGUCGUCACUCUUUACAACCAAGAGGAACGUGUUCUGAAACCAUCAGAAACGGACCGCUGCAACAACCGUCUCUCGCCAAGUGUAAAGGGCUGGAUGGGUCAGCUGGUUCGUGACAAAAACACCUUCUGCCUGUCACUGAAAUAUGAAGAUACCAACACCAGCACCAGCUGAGACAAGAAGGCUGUGGAGAACCUGACCAGCAACACUACAGCCUCCUGACCAUCAAACCCUGCUCUUCAUCUGCAGAUCUAAAGUGCAUAUAAACCUAUUUUUACACUGUUUCAUGUGUUAAGUAAGAACUAGAUUACUUUUUUUACGUUUAAGGAACAAUAAAGAUUUGACUAUCAAAUCA